rnacentral:rRNA from 1 species
CCAAUAGCGUAUAUUAAAGUUGUUGCAGUUAAAAAGCUCGUAGUUGAAUUUCGGGGUCAGUAGGUCGGUCGUGCCACUGGUAUGAACUGGUUUUACUGAUUCCUCCCUCUUGAAGAACUGUAAUGCCAUUAAUUUGGUGUUGCAGGGAAUCAGGACUGUUACUUUGAAAACAUUAGAGUGUUUAAAGCAGGCUUUAGCUUGAAUACAUUAGCAUGGAAUAAUGAAAUAGGACGUUUGAUCCUAUUUUGUUGGUUUCUAGGAUUGACGUAAUGAUUAAUAGGGAUAGUUGGGGGCAUUAGUAUUCAAUUGUCAGAGGUGAAAUUCUUGGAUUUAUUGAAGACUAACUACUGCGAAAGCAUUUGCCAAGGAUGUUUUCAUUAAUCAAGAACGAAAGUUGGGGGAUCGAAGACGAUCAGAUACCGUCGUAGUCUUAACCAUAAACUAUGCCGACUAGGGAUCGGAUGAUGUUAAUUUUUUAAUGACUCAUUCGGCGCCUUACG